ACAGAGGGGAAGGAUGGUGGUUAAGCUGCUAGCCUGAGACCCAGGAGAUCUGAGUUCACUUCCUUGCCCUACCACACAUGUGCUGUGAGCUUGUCAACAAGUACCUCGUGGCCAGAUCCUCAAAGGAAUGUGUUUUACAUUUCAAGCUCUUCUUAUGCUGACCUGAAUGUAAGAAAGGAGAGGGCAGGACUCACAGUGACUAAAGAUGCUGUAACGACACACAAGAAGGCACCAUCCCUGUCCCCAAGAACUUACCAUCUAAUAUACGGUAGGAUGCAACACAAGUGUAACAAGAGGAGGGAAGAAAUUGU